UACGUAGGGUGCAAGCGUUAAUCGGAAUUACUGGGCGUAAAGCGCGCGUAGGCGGAUCGUUAAGUCGGGGGUGAAAUCCUGGAGCUCAACUCCAGAACUGCCUUUGAUACUGGCGAUCUUGAGUCCGGGAGAGGUGAGUGGAACUCCGAGUGUAGAGGUGAAAUUCGUAGAUAUUCGGAAGAACACCAGUGGCGAAGGCGGCUCACUGGCCCGGUACUGACGCUGAGGUGCGACAGCGUGGGGAUCAAACAAGG
rnacentral:rRNA from 1 species